AUUUCGGUCACUUCAGUUUUAUAGAGUUCCACGUUGGUCGGUUUGGGCUUUCAUAGUGAUCGAUGACCAUUUUGCAGGUGCAGGAAUCAGAUGCAAUGAGGAUGAAGAGGCUCGCAGAACCAUCAUCUGCUUCUUUGGACACACUGGUUGAUGAUCCCUGAUUCUCAGAGGUACAUCGUGGUGAAUUGGUCAAGUGGACUUUUACCUUGCAUGGCCCUGUACAAAGCCGUAUGACCAUCUGCCUGCACUCUGAGCCGAGGUAGCAUGAGGAUAGACAGAGGCAUGAGACCCGACUGCUGUCAGGCUUCCAUUAUAUUUCACAGUUCAGCUGGCCUGGGGUGAGCUGCAGGGAUUUUGGGGUAUCUGAGAUUCUCAACUCACCCCAAUCAAACUCAAGCACACACAUAGUCAGGCGCAUGAGGCCUGCAGAGACGAGAGCAGGAGAGAUGUUUGGCACACUGUUACCAUUCUCUUACUUGUAGCUGGCUAGUUGGUCCAUCUGUGUCUUGCUUUCAAUAAUCUGGUCUGUUUACA
ensembl:lncRNA